rnacentral:sRNA from 1 species
CUUUGUUUAAAAACAAUAAAGUUACAUUAGUACUUCAAUGCUUUUCUCUCUGUUUUUCUUAUAUUUGCAGAGAUUUUCAUUUAUGAAGUAAUAUUUAGACUGAAAAUAGUGGAAGCACAAGAUUUGAAUGUGCAUUUGGUUUGGGUUUUGUUGAAAGUUGAAUUGAAUAAUGAAGGUAGAAGAGUUUGUUUAGAGUUAUCUCAUAUAUAAUAGAGCAAAUUAUAAUUAGUGUAGCUCUCUGCAGAAUUAAAUGAAGUCAAAGGGGAGUAAUGAGAUGAAACAAUGAUAAUAUGAAAAGUUCUGGUUUUGUUCUUUCUUCAAUCAAAAAAUAAAGGAUGGGAGGUUGUCACGUUUUCAUAUGUUUUACUAGUCUUAAUAAUGAUUUAUAAUAUGCUUCUUUUAUAUUUUCUUCGAACCAAUUUCAGUUUGCAGUUCAAUUAGUGGAAUGAACGAAAGAGGGGUUCUUUCCUUUUUACUAUAUUAUUAUUAUAAUUAGAAUUACUACAUAAUUUAAAACAGCUUUUUGUUCCCCUGAAUUUUCCUUCUUUGACUUGAACGUGAUAUAAAAAUACUUCCAUCAAUUUAUUCUUAUUAUUAGCUGAAGCCAUUAUUGACGAGAACAGGGCCUAAAUUUAUGAGACCUCUAUGUCAACAUGCAAAUAUGGGAGACUGUAACAUAAAUGACAAACUGUGCAACAUUUCAACUAGGGCUGGGCAAAAGUAAUUGUACUGUACUGAAUUAUAGUUAAUUGUACUUUAUUAUACUUAAAAUUCCCUGCUGCAACACUUUUGACCAAAAUUGGAAAGUAUUCUUCUUCACACAGUUCUUAACAGUCCUUAGAUACUUCCAAUUAACUUAUUUAUUCUUCCUUCCUAGCACUGAAAAGCUUUAAAGAAAUAUUUUAUAGAAAAAAGAAGUCUCAAGAUCAAUAUAUGGGAAAUUUUAAUUAUAUCUAACAACUCUCUUAAUUUCCAGGUGACUUUUGAUGAUGAUAAAUCAAAAGCAGUGGAUUUCAAUAUUAUCCACCAUCUAAUCCUGAUUUCCAAGCUAUUGAAGAAGAAAAUCCUCCACUGUUAUUGAAGAGCCACGUGUUGUUAACCGGUCUCCUAUUAAUUUGGAUGAUUGAAGAUCAAGAAAGAAGCACUGAUUGUAACUGAACUAAAGAAUAGUUCAACUCAGUUUCGUUUAAGGAGCUAUCAACUGUUUCCCUAGCUACAUGG